UACAGAGGCCUCGAGCGUUAGGCGGAUUCACUGGGCGUAAAGGGUGCGUAGGCGGUCGAGUAAGUCUGACGUGAAAUCUCCGGGCCUAACCCGGAAACUGCGUUGGAAACUACUUGGCUAGAGGAAUGGAGGGGAGACUGGAAUACUUGGUGUAGCAGUGAAAUGCGUAGAUAUCAAGUGGAACACCAGUGGCGAAGGCGAGUCUCUGGACAUUUCCUGACGCUGAGGCACGAAAGCCAGGGGAGCAAACGGG
rnacentral:rRNA from 1 species